UACGGAGGAUCCGAGCGUUAUCCGGAUUUAUUGGGUUUAAAGGGUGCGCAGGCGGGAUAAUAAGUCAGUGGUGAAAGUUUGCAGCUUAACUGUAAAAUUGCCAUUGAAACUGUUAUUCUUGAGUGCAGACAAGGUAGGCGGAAUGUAUUGUGUAGCGGUGAAAUGCUUAGAUAUAAUACAGAACCCCGAUUGCGAAGGCAGCUUACCGGACUGUAACUGACGCUCAGGCACGAAAGCGUGGGGAUCAAACAGG
rnacentral:rRNA from 1 species